rnacentral:lncRNA from 1 species
GGGAAGGAUUCCAGGCUGCUCCACAGAGUUUGCACAACUGGUACCGCAGGCACCCUCCUCCGUCGUCGUCUGGGUCCUCAAGAGUCUUCUAGAAGGGGAUAAAGGGCACAUCCGGGUGCGCGGUCAAGGGGGAGAAGGGGCGCCGGAGACUCAGGAAUGUUUGGAGCGCGGACUUGCCCUGCUCCAUCACCUCUCCAUCUGACCAUGCCCUGCGGGUGCCAGAAAACCAUCUCUGAGAAACAUGGGGCGCAGUACCUGCUUUGUAAGGUGAGGGGACCAAGGGUUCCUGCUUUGGAGACCCUAGGCCUGUUGUGGCUCCUAGGAAAGUGAUAUAAAUCGUUAACUGUCGUGGAAGAAUGCAUCCAUCAUUACAUUUUCACAAUACACGGUGAUCCCUAACUGUAUACUACCGCCUUUUCUAAUUUUGGGGUUGUUAAGAGUGUCAGUCAAGCAUUUAACAAAUAUGUAUUAUUUAAUUUCAUGCAUUCGUUUAACAGGUCUACCUGUUGUUUGCCAGGUGUUAUGAUACCCUGGAAUAGAGUUGAAUUAGAUGUAUUUAGGGACUUUGCUUUUUAAUGUGUUAUCUAAGGUGAUUAUUUAACCCAUGACGUUCCUAAAGGUUUAAUUUGCUCUUGGUAGGAUGUCAUUGUCCGAUGGAGCAUAAAUUUGAUUUUAACGCUUUGUCGUAGAGUCCAAAAGCCCAAAUUAUGCUUUGAGUUUUAGUUUAAAUCUUCUUUACAAAAAUUUCCUGACAGUUCCCCUCGAUUUAGAUACUGUGUGAUGAAUGUGAAAGUUCUACAAAUGAGUUUUUUUUUUUUUUUUUACUCUUGACGAUCUCCUGUGGAAAGGCAUAAACAUCUGAAUAUGUUGGGAAUGUUUUUCAACGAUAAUAUGCUCUUUGAGAGUAUAGGCAGGUUUGAUGAACUCCAGGUAGUUUCCUCAGCAUUAGAAUGAAAUGCCCAUCCAGAAACCUGCAAUUUUAUUUGAAUUGUUUUUUUGUUUGUUUGUUUUUUCCAAACAGCAACAACUUCAAUAAAGCCUCUUUUGGGAGCACCACCAUGUUUCAGGCACUAUCCAGUUGCAUUUUUCAGAUGAGAAUGAUCCUGAAAUGUGUGGUCAGGCAGUGACCGUCCAGUUAUCUAUCGCUUGGCUUUUAAAACACUACGGUCAUAAUAACUCCUAGAGCUCAUGCUCCACGAAGAAUAAGGCUGUUGAAAUUCUCCAAACUUCACGAAGCCAUCUGGUUCUGAUUUCCCCAUAGAAUUUCAGUAGAAAAGGAAGUCUGAAUACUAACUGCAUCAAGUCUGAGCAGCGCUGCUUACACAAACUUUUGGGAGAUGUUAUCAUGGACUUCUGUUUCUUAAAAAUAACAGGGAAAAUGAUUAUAU